UGGGGAAUAUUGCACGAUGGGCGGAAGCCUGAUGCAGCAACGCCGCGUGCGGGAUGUCGGCCUUCGGGUUGUAAACCGCUUUCGCCUGUGACGAAGCGUGAGAGACCGGAAUGGGUAAAGAAGCACCGGCUAACNACGNG
rnacentral:rRNA from 1 species